GCCACGGGCCACAACCUGCGGGUCUUCGUCUGUCAGGGCCUGGACGCUUCUGCUACUCCACUCCUUGUGCGAACACAUCGACAUAUAUUAGCGCCCGACUGUGCCACCAAGCUCAAAUCAGGGGCUGCAAGAUUCCAUCACGAGUCUUCGUGUGGUGGUCUUGGUCUUGGAUUGUAAAGCCCGGUUUGGGAUUUUGCUACAACUGCUCAUUCAGUGAGGAUUCUGAUCGAAGACGAUCAGAAGGAAAAAGGACUUUGCCCAAGUAACUCCAGCUGGUUAUAUUGACACACUAUAUGAAUGUAACGCCAUACAGAGGCAUGUUUCAUGUGUGGCAGAGGACUAGAGGUAAUUAAAACUUCAUCUGAGGAAGCAAUCUACAAAGUCAAGUGGAGCAAUAGCGUCCAAGCAGUCUUGUUGCUAUGUUCUUGCUUUUGCUGUACACAAAAAGGCCGGGAUUGAGCAAGGGCGCUGGAGAUAUUGUGUCAAUAGUGGGCAUCUUGAUGCAGUUGCGCUUGUCGAGGUUGAGCUUGUUCCCACGCACGACUUGUAGUUGUAAACUUAUGCAUUUGGGGCUAUUAAAGGGAGGCAAUUGACGUGCAUGCCAAGAGGAGUUAUUCUGUGGCAACCCACAGAGUCAUGUUUGAUCAUUAAAAGAAAUGGCCACGGAUCCCCACGGACGCCGCCACUGCCGCGGAUCCCCACGGAUGAUGCAGACGCCGCCGAACAGAGCAGGAUGUGGUCGCGUUGCACUGAUUGGGGGAGACCGUGCCGGCCGUGCGCUGUUUGGAGGACGAACACAGGUUCACCGCCAUGGCUAUGAGAGGACGCAUUUGUGUUCAGUUGUUCGGGCAGAGGAGGCACUUUGUUGAAGCAUCAAGUGAAUUGAAAUGUGCAAAUGCUCUUGGUGCCCAUUAGUUCUGUGUGUGAGUAAGAAAUCGUUUUCUUCUCCAUAGCUGAGAAACCAGUAAAGAAAUUAUGUGUCAGGAGCAAGAAUCUUUUUCGAUGAAAGCCGCUACCUUUCAUAUAUAAAUUGUGUUCCUUUUCAAGAAAGAAAUCCAUAGCCUUGAAUCAAUAGAUAUACAUAAGUUUUAUGUUGAUGUUAUCUACAAUAAGAGUACUUGAAAUUGAUAGAGUUGCCAUUAGAUUUUCCCAGAAGAGGCAGACAUUAUAUCACCUGUCCGUUUAAUCUUUCUCUGUUUAUUAUGUUGCUUCUCUUUUUUUGUCUUAUUCUUAUUCCAAUAAUUGCAUUAGGAUUCAUUGCCAAUUUUUUCUGUCCUUAUUUAAUUUGGAUGGUGCUGAACUAUUUUUGUGGUACCUGGUACCUUUCAUGAUCAAGAAGAGCUCACAUGUGACUAAAUAGACAUGGUGCAUUGUUUAAGCAUGCAUAUUUGGCCUCUUUGGACUAUUAAUAGAAGCUUGUGUCCCCUUUGGACUAGGAAAGGUAUGUUAAAUUGU